CAUGUAGGCGGCUCGUCAAGUCGUGUGUUAAAGCCCCUGGCUCAACUGGGGGAGGUCAUGCGAGACUGACGGACUUGAGGGCAGUAGAGGCACGUGGAACUCCCGGUGUAGCGGUGGAAUGCGUAGAGAUCGGGAAGAACACCCGUGGCGAAGGCGACGUGCUGGGCUGUACCUGACGCUGAGAUGCGAAAGUGUGGGGAGCAAACGGGAUUAGAUACCCCGGUAGUCCACACUGUAAACGAUGAACCCUAGGUGUGGGCGGUUAACCGUCCGUGCCGAAGCCAACGCGUUAAGGGUUCCGCCUGGGGACUAUGAGCGCAAGCUUAAA
rnacentral:rRNA from 1 species